AGGGUAUUUGUGCUUAUUCAUACAAUUACAAAUUUCAGCUAAACUAUGGAUAAUUUUGAAGAAGUUAAUAAGCCACCCCCUCAAUUUUCGUAUAUGCAUAAAAUGCGAUGGUGACUGGACGAUAUUUAUAUUCAUCAAUAGCCAGUUUUUUGAUUCUACGUAAUAUGUCGUUAAAAACAAUAUACUAACGAUAUUAGAAAUAUAAUGUGCGUCGUUUUAUUAAAAUGUAAAUAGG